GUUGAUUCAGGAACUCAGUGACGUAAGGGUAACAUUGGAUGAGAACCACACCCAUGCAAGAGAUGUCAUUGGGUGACAGAGGCCAGAUUCUGGAUUCCUUCUCUAUACCUUGUGUCAUCUCAUGUUCUGACUUUAAAUGUAAUAUACUCAAUGUGGAGUUCCUGUUAUUGUCAAGCAAACACACAAGAUUGACAAGACCAUGCCCAAGGCUGGAGUGAUUGAGCUGGUGAAGAUACAAUGAACCAUUUAUCGAUUUAGACAGUUUAUUACUUACAUAAACAAUGAAAAGAAU